GGAUUGUGGCUCAGUGGUAGAGUGCUCGCCUCGCAUGCAUGAGGCACUGGGUUCAAUCCUCAGUACCA
rnacentral:tRNA from 1 species